AGGCGCUAUCGACCAGAGAGCUAAGAGAGGAGGCAUCGUGGUGUGGGGAGCAUUUGAGUUUUAUCGUGGAGGUCGACUACUCGUGGUCCUGAUAUAAACUUCUGUGUGACCUGCAAGAGGACUGUGAUCAUGAUCUCGUCCCUGAAGAAAUGUCAAGUUUAGAAAAAUGUGUCACAUGUGGAGGACCCCUUUCACCUCUGAAAUGGUCUGGUGUGAUGUGUAAAGUUUGCUACGAGUCCUGGCACAAAAAGUGUUAUGUUAAGCACAAGGUGAACAUCACUGAACCUCUGCCAGUGGUCUGUGAAGAACAAAGUUCAAGUGAGGUGGCAUCAUCAGAAAUGUGCCUGAUUCCACAGCU